rnacentral:tRNA from 1 species
UCGUGAUGGAAUAUAGGUUAUUCGCCGGGUCUGUCUUGCCCGGAGAUGUGGGUUCGACUCCCGCUCACGAC